GAGGUCCUGCCUGCCCAGUGACAAUAGUUUAACGGCCGCGGUAUCCUGACCGUGCAAAGGUAGCGCAAUCACUUGUCUUUUAAAUAAGGACCUGUAUGAAUGGCAAAACGAGGGCUUAACUGUCUCCCUUUACAAGUCAGUGAAAUUGACCUGCCCGUGCAGAUGCGGGCAUAACAAUACAAGACGAGAAGACCCUAUGGAGCUUAAGACACAAGCCAACCAUGUCAAUAAUUUACACACCUAAAUUAAACUAUAACACUGGCCCUCGUCUUCGGUUGGGGCGACCACGGAGUAAAAUAAAACCUCCAUGCGGAUUAGGACACAUCCUAAAACCAAGAGAGACACCUCCAAGCCACAGAACAUCUGACCACAUAGAUCCGGCCUUUCAGCCGAUCAACGAACCAAGUUACCCUAGGGAUAACAGCGCAAUCCCCUUCCAGAGUCCCUAUCGACAAGGGGGUUUACGACCUCGAUGUUGGAUCAGGACAUCCUAAUGGUGCAGCCGCUAUUAAGGGUUCGU
rnacentral:rRNA from 1 species